GACCUUGAGAAAGCUGGACAUCAAG
rnacentral:piRNA from 1 species